UACGAAGGGGGCUAGCGUUGCUCGGAAUCACUGGGCGUAAAGCGCACGUAGGCGGAUCUUUAAGUCAGGGGUGAAAUCCUGGAGCUCAACUCCAGAACUGCCUUUGAUACUGGGGAUCUCGAGUCCGGAAGAGGUGAGUGGAACUCCGAGUGUAGAGGUGAAAUUCGUAGAUAUUCGGAAGAACACCAGUGGCGAAGGCGGCUCACUGGUCCGGAACUGACGCUGAGGAGCGAAAGCGUGGGAGCAACAGGA
rnacentral:rRNA from 1 species